AUCAGUGUAGUUUAAAUAAUAAACACCUUAUUUUCAAUAAGGAAAUAAGACCUGUCUCUUCACAGAUA
rnacentral:tRNA from 1 species